rnacentral:rRNA from 1 species
CGUGUAGGCGGUUUUAUAAGUCUGAUGUGAAAGCCCUGGGCUCAACCCGGGAAGUGCAUUGGAUACUGUAAGACUUGAAUACGGGAGAGGGUAGUGGAAUUCCUAGUGUAGGAGUGAAAUCCGUAGAUAUUAGGAGGAACACCGGUGGCGAAGGCGGCUGCCUGGACCGAUAUUGACGCUGAGACGCGAAAGCGUGGGUAGCAAACAG